rnacentral:lncRNA from 1 species
UCCGCGUGUAAUGAGACAGUGAGGAGUGAUGAUCACGUGACGCGGGCGUUCUGUACUGUAGUCUCAGCUUGUUUCUUUGAAAGGAGAAACGCGCCGCAUUCAUUCCUCACUCUCAUCAUCUCUGUCUGAGGGGACAGAGCUCAAAAUAUUUUCUUUAUUUGCACUACUGUUCACCAAGAAACCUAGGCAACGGUUCGUUUUUCACCACUAUUUCGCCCAGCAACAUUAGAAACGCCAACCUUGCUUCGAAGACUACACCUGUCCCAGCAUCAUCUGAGUGAGAUUCCGCACAACUACUGAGUGGACAAAACCUUCUCCAGGUCAAGAAAUAUUUGGAAACAAGAUGGCAGAAUCCCGCGAAUAUCUGACCCGUUAGAACGUCCUGGUCUGGUCAAGUUCUUUCCAUCAUCACCUGCUCCGACUCUUCUAAAGGUUUGGCAGGUUUUAACAUUUCACUCCUGUCCUCUAAUCAUGUUAUAUUCCAGCAGAGCCUUGGGUUCAGUCGGAGAAGUGGAAGGAAUAUCAAACGACUGCCUUCUUUCAUUUAUUUCUUCCUGCUGUUCACCUGUCGUUUCCUUUUUCUUGUGACAACCAUCUAUUACAAAUAGAUGAGCUGCUUCUUUUUGUGUGUGCAUACUACAUAUAACCUAUUUUUCUUUUCAUAAUUUUGUUGAUUUCUGUGGAAGACUUGAUCUUUGGAGUGUCAAAAAAUAAAAGGAUGAAAUCAGUCAUCUAAUUAUUAAUUUAAAAUAAAAAAUGUACAAUACCGUUUGUAUUUUUAAAAAGAAAUUAAUACUUUUUAUUCAGCAAGGAUGCAAUUAACUAUUUAAAAGUGACAGUAAAGACUAUUGUAAGAUUUAUUUUUCAAAUAAAUGCUGUUCCUUUGUUGAACUUUGUGUUCAUCAAACAAUCCUGAAAAAAUGUAUCAUGGUUUCCACAAAAUUUAACCAGCACAAAGGUUUUCACAUCAGCAUAUUAGAAUGAUUUCUGAAGGAUCAACACUGAAGCCUAGAGUAAUGAUGCUGAAAAUUCAGCUUUGCCGUCACUGGAAUAAAUAACAUUUUAAAAUAUAUUUCAAAAAUAAAUAGUUCAAUAAUAUUUCACAGUAUUGGUAUUUUUACUUUUUUUUUUUUUUUCAAGUACUUCUUUCAAAAACAUUAAAAAUCUUACAGAGCCAAAAUUUUUGAAUGGUAUUGUAAAUAAUCACUUUUCAAAUUGACAAAUAUACACUUGGCAUACUACAAACACAAAUGUAUAACUUUUGACUUAGAUGUUUAUUUUUACUUUUUUUUUUUUUUUUUUUUUUUUAUUUUUUUACAAUUUUACUUAAAAAAGUGACAGUAAAGACUAUUGUAAAGAUUUAUUUUUCAAAUAAAUGCUGUCCUUUGUUGAACUUUGUGUUCAUCAAACAAUCCUGAAAAAAAUGUAUCAUGGUUUCCACAAAAUUUAACCAGCACAAAGGUUUUUCACAUCAGCAUAUUAGAAUGAUUUCUGAAGGAUCAACACUGAAGCCUAGAGUAAUGAUGCUGAAAAUUCAGCUUUGCCGUCACUGGAAUAAAUAACAUUUUAAAAUAUAUUUCAAAAAUAAAUAGUUCAAUAAUAUUUCACAGUAUUGGUAUUUUUACUUUUUUUUUUUUUUUUUACUUGGCAUACUACAACACAAAUGUAUUAACUUUGUACUUAGUAUUGUUUAUUUUACUUUUUUUUUUUUUUUUUUUUUUUUUUUUUCAAUUACAUUUUUGUUGGUAGCCAUAAUAUGUCAAAGGGAUGUGUUUAAAAUAAAUUGAAAGUUGGGUGGUUUAACACAAAGAAUUAUCUGUGGCAAAUAGAUGGAAACAGUAUUAUAUAAACAGUAUUAUAUGUAUGAAUUAAUUUAGACAGUCCUCGCAGUCCUCCACAGAAAGGAUUCUUUUGUAAUUCAUGCCUAAUCGGUUGAAGUGUGUCACCAGAUAAUUCUGCGCUAGCACUCCAAGAUUCCCCCUCAAGGACCAACAUCCAAGUUUAACUUCAGAAAUUAUCCUUUGUUGAGGAGCGGAAUGCUAAUUUGAUCUAAAAAGAAAUCAAAGCUCCUCCAGGCAUCAAGAUCUCCCGAUGAACUGCAAAUUAAGCACUUCAGUCGCUUAGUGUGAGCUGACCUGGUGGUGGUCCAUUAGGGAUCAUUCAGGGAGGCUUUAAAUGUAUUUUUGAGGAGGUUCAGCCUCUCUUGUCUCCACUGACGGACCCCCACUGAGCAGAACCUCAAAAAGUACUGCUCUUUUUGUCAUUUAAUAUCAAAUGUUAAAUAAGUCUUUAGCAAGUUUUAUUAUCUGAAGAUGGACCGUUGCUAGCUCUUCUCCAGGGAUACCUCUUGCCCUCAUUUAACACCCAAGUGCUUUUUUUAAUUGAACCCAUCUGUGUCUCUGAGCAGCUCUGAGAGCCAUUAGCACAAGGGCUUCUGGGAACCAGGAGGACUUAAGUUGUCCGUGUUUAGGGAUGUUCUAGAAUCAUUAGUGUCUCAAUGGCAUUGUGAGAGGUUGAAUAAGAUUAGCUCAGUCUAGAUUGUGUAAUUAAGCAUUUAUGUAUUUCACUAAGAGUCUCAUAAUGCAAGAUACUUAUACAAUCAGCUCAGCAUCUCUGCAGAGCCACACUGGGAUUAUAAUGGCUGUGAAUUUAGUUUUAGCAUGAUCCAAGUGAAAUUGGAUUGUAAACAAGUUGCCUUAGCAUGCAUUUUUUAAUUUUAGUUUAUUACCUGUGGAUUAUGGACUUUGCAUUAGGGUUUUGUUGUAUUCCCUAACUACUUAUAGUAAGCAAGGUUGUAUAAUGCAAAUUGCAUGGUUUUUAUUGUACACAUGCUUUCCACAUUAAUUAUACAACUCUAUACUAUAAGACAACAGUUUUCUCAUUUCUCUGUUUU